rnacentral:rRNA from 1 species
UACAGAGGUCUCAAGCGUUGUUCGGAUUCAUUGGGCGUAAAGGGUGCGUAGGUGGCGGGGUAAGUCUGGUGUGAAAGCUUCGAGCUCAACUCGGAAAAGCAUUGGAAACUAUCCCGCUGGAGGGUCGGAGGGGAGACUGGAAUUCUCGGUGUAGCAGUGAAAUGCGUAGAUAUCGAGAGGAACACCAGUGGCGAAGGCGAGUCUCUGGACGACUCCUGACACUGAGGCACGAAAGCUAGGGGAGCAAACAGG